rnacentral:rRNA from 1 species
GAUGAACGCUGGCGGCGUGCUUAACACAUGCAAGUCGAACGAAGCAUUUAGGACAGAUUACUUCGGUUUGAAGUUCUUUAUGACUGAGUGGCGGACGGGUGAGUAACGCGUGGGUAACCUGCCUUGUACUGGGGGAUAGCAGCUGGAAACGGCUGGUAAUACCACAUAAGCGCACAAUGUUGCAUGACAUGGUGUGAAAAACUCCGGUGGUAUAAGAUGGACCCGCGUCUGAUUAGCUAGUUGGUGAGAUAACAGCCCACCAAGGCGACGAUCAGUAGCCGAACUGAGAGGGUGACCGGCCACAUUGGGACUGAGACACGGCCCAGACUCCUACGGGAGGCAGCAGUGGGGAAUAUUGCACAAUGGAGGAAACUCUGAUGCAGCGACGCCGCGUGAGUGAAGAAGUAAUUCGUUAUGUAAAGCUCUAUCAGCAGGGAAGAUAGUGACGGUACCUGACUAAGAAGCUCCGGCUAAAUACGUG